rnacentral:rRNA from 1 species
AACAGCUGCGGUAUUAUAACUGUACUAAGGUAGCAUAAUAAUUUGCCUUAUAAAUUAGGGCUGGAAUGAAUGGUUUGACGAAAAUUAUACUGUCUCUAUUUUAAUUAUUAGAAAUUAAUUUUUAUAGUGAAAAAGCUUGAAUAAUUUAAAGGGACGAGAAGACCCUAUUGAGCUUUAUGUUGAAUAUAAAUAAUUAUAAAAUAUUAUUUAUUUUUAAUUUUUGGUUGGGGUGAUCAAGGAAUAAAAAUUUUUAGUAAAAGUAAUUUCCUUAUUUAUACUAUUUACUUGAAUAAUAAACCAAAAUUUUUGCUUAAAUGAUAAGUUACCAUAGGGAUAACAGCGUAAUUUUUUUAGAGAGUUCUUAUUAAAAAAAAAGAUUGCGACCUCGAUGUUGGAUUAAAAUAACCAUUAGGUGUAGAAGCUUUAUUUGGUAAAUCUGUUCGAUUUUUAAAAUUUU